UACAGAGGUCGCAAGCGUUGUUCGGAUUUACUGGGCGUAAAGGGCGCGUAGGUGGCGCGGUAAGUCGGAUGUGAAAUCUCCGGGCUCAACCCGGAAAGUGCGUCCGAAACUGCCAUGCUCGAGUGCGGGAGAGGGAAUCGGAAUACAGGGUGUAGCGGUGAAAUGCGUUGAUAUCCUGUAGAACACCGGAGGCGAAGGCGGAUUCCUGGAACGCAACUGACGCUAAGGCGCGAAAGUCGGGGGAGCAAAC
rnacentral:rRNA from 1 species